UAAAAUCGGAAUAGUCAGUAGUCUUGUGGUGAACGCGGUGGCAUUUGACACGAGGCGGACUGAGUUCGAAUCCC
rnacentral:precursor_RNA from 1 species